UCAACCGGGUCUAGACCAUAGCUUGGUUUCUUGUAGUGAGGAUGCAUACUACUCCAAUAAAAGUAUACUUGGCUACGGGUCUAGGGCACACAGGCACAACCCUAAACCCCUUCUUCUCUCAGCAUGCACAGCAACCUCAGUACCUCAUGAAAGGAGGAACCUUUUCUCUCUCAACGCUCUCUCUAUCUCUCACCAAAGAUCACCUGCCACCAUCACCAUUCACAAGCCUCAGAGUCACCUUGGCCCCCGCCAAAGCUCCUCUUUUGACUACUUCUCAGUGCUCCUCUAUUUCAAUGCUUCUCUCACCUUCACGGCCACAGUGAUGCACUGUUUCUUGGUGACAACAACCUCAGUGACAACGACAUCAUUAGUGGCCACGAAGUGCGACGGCACUUCUCUGUUCUAUUUUCCCAAUGUUGUUGCCCCCCGGCCGUCGUUUUCUUCUCUUCCACCAUCAGUCCUCGCAAAGGUUAGCCUCGUCACAACUAGAAGCCCCAUCAAAGCUUAGUUAGCCACCACCUCUGCUCAACUUUCCCUUUUUCUGUUCUUAAGCUUAGGGUGUUGGAGAAGAGGAUGGAAUAUUUUAAACUCAAACUCUAUUAUGGAGGAUGGUUUAGUUAUGAUAAAAGGCCAUUACAGUAUAUGGGAGGAUAAACAACAGUUAUAGAAGAUAUUGACUGUGAUCGGUGGUUCCUAUUUGAAGCUUCGCAGAGUUAAAACAGUUUGGUUACCUUGAGGAGAAUAUCUCAGCAUUGUGGUUUAAGGAUCCGAUACAUGAAGACAUGCAGGAUAAUCUAAAGUUAUUUCAAGGUGAUGCAGAUUUGAUUGCCAUGUAUAAAAUAGUUGAAUUAAGAGAACAUGUAGAGUUGUUUGUUGUGCACAAGGUUGAGGAGGAGGAUGUGUUUUCUAAUGCUAGCUACAUUGAUAUUAGGGGAUCAAGGGGUUGGUGAUAAAGGUGAGAGACAAGAGGUGGUGGUGUAUGCUGGAGAACAGGCUGCGGAUGGUUAGCAGCUGUAUCAGAAAGGUAACAAUGUAGUUGAUAUAGUCGAUAGACCUAAUGAGGUGAGGCAAAAGCAAAUUGAACCAGGUGAUGAUAUUACUGGGGCAGAGUCUAGCGAUAGUGAUAAGGAUGAGCAUCACAAAGCUGAGUUUGCUAAUGUUAGUGGAUGUGAUAGUGAUAGUCUUGAUUCAGAGUAUAAACCAUCUGAAGAGGAAGAUGACAUUACAGAUGAUUUGCACUUCACCGACAGUGAAGAUGAGCUUGAUCCUGAUAUUAGUGGGUUUGAGGAUGUGAAUGUCAUGAUUGAUAAAUAUAGGGCAGCGAAGAAAAAAGGUGUAACAACUGAGGAUUUUGAAGAUGAUGAAGGAGCAGAUGGUGAUAAAUUAGAAUUGGACCACGAGGUUGGAGUUGGGGCUGAUGAGGAUGGUGGAAAUAAGGGGUCAGACUCAGACUAUGAGGGAGUGAGGUAUCUAAUUCACUGGGCACAAAAAUACAUGAAGCAAUAUGAGUGGUAAGUUGGGACACUGUAUGCAUCUCGAGAGGAAUUCAAGAAAACUGUCACUACAUAUGCUGUGCAGACCGCAAGAGCCAUUACAUUCAGAAAGUGUGAUCUUAAGAGGGUAAGGGCAGUUCUCCUAUAUGCUGCCAAAAUAGGAGAAGAGGAUACUAGGCAACUUAGAAGCAUAAAUUUGAAGCACUCAUGUACACAAGCACACAGAGUGAGAAUUUUACACUCCAAAUAGCUUGGCAAGGCAUUUAAGAAGAAGGUUAAAUCAAAUUCCAAAUUGAAGAUAAAGGAGUUAAUUUCCAAGGCUCAGAAAAAGUGGAAUUUGACUGUCACUAAAUCAAUGGCUUCUAGGACAAAGAGAUUGUAUUGGAUGAAAUUUUGGGAAUUUUCAGAGAGUAAUAUAAGAGGAUAUAUGACUAUGGUCCUGAGCUUUUGAGGGCAAAUCCAGGCUCCUCUAUCCAUAUACAAGUGCUUAUUGCAAUAGAAAGGGACCCGAAUGACCAAAUGCUACCAAUUGCAUAUGUGGUUGUAGAGGUCGAGACCAAGGAUUCAUGGACUUGGUUCUUGAAUCAUCUUAUAUCUGAUAUUGGGAUUGAGAAGAUAGAAAGAUCCACAUUCAUGUUUGACCAACAGAAAGGUUUAUUGACAGCAUUGAUGUGAUACCAAGUGUUGACAAUCAAUUCUGUGUGAGAUACUUAUACAGCAACUUCAGGAAAAAGUUUUCAUGUUUUCAUUUGAAACGAAUGAUGUGGAAGUGUGUUAAGGCGACUCACUGAAAAGAAUGGAAGAAGUAUAUGGCAAACUUCAAAUUUGUGAAUCAGGAAGCUUUUCACCACUUAACUACUAUUGCACCUAUAUAUUAGUCUAGAUCUAGGUUCACCUUUCAUUCUAAAGUAGAUACACUAGUUAACAUGUCUGAGAAUUUUAAUUCUGCUAUAAUAGAUGCUAGAGAGAAACCUAUAAUUACAAUGUUGGAGGAGAUUAAAGUUAAGUUAAUGAAUAGGUGGGCACAAAAUAGAGCUUUGGUUCAGAACUAUUCAGGGACUAUCUUACCUAGGAUUAGAUUGAGAUUAGAGAGAAGGUCUAGGUUAGUUGGAGAGUGGCGGCCAUAUUGGUAUGCAGCUCAAAAAUAUGAGGUUGUUGAUGGUUUAGAAAAGUUUGUUGUGGACAUAAGUAGGUGGCAAAAGAGUGGCAUACCUUGUACAAAUGUUGUUAGUUGCAUCAAGUUCAAGGGACUUGACUUGGAAGCUUUUGUGGCCGACUGCUACAAGAAAGAAGCAUACUUGAAGUGCUAAAAGUUAGUCAUACACCCAUCAAAUGGACUUGAUCUCUGGGAGAGGAUAGAUUAUGAUGAUGUUAUACCACCACCUUAUAGAAGGCCUAGUCACCAACCAAUGAAAAAGAGAAGAAUAGCUACUAGGGAGGAAGAACAGAGCAACCACACUCACUUGUCAAGGAAAAAUACACAUUCACAGUCCACUACUAAAAUUGGAGUAAAGAG